UGCACAAUGGGCGAAAGCCUGAUGCAGCGACGCCGCGUGAGGGAUGACGGCCUUCGGGUUGUAAACCUCUUUCAGCAGGGAAGAAGCGAGAGUGACGGUACCUGCAGAAGAAGCGCCGGCUAACUACGUGCCAGCAGCCGCGGUAAUACGUAGGGCGCAAGCGUUGUCCGGAAUUAUUGGGCGUAAAGAGCUCGUAGGCGGCUUGUCGCGUCGGAUGUGAAAGCCCGGGGCUUAACCCCGGGUCUGCAUUCGAUACGGGCAGGCUAGAGUUCGGUAGGGGAGAUCGGAAUUCCUGGUGUAGCGGUGAAAUGCGCAGAUAUCAGGAGGAACACCGGUGGCGAAGGCGGAUCUCUGGGCCGAUACUGACGCUGAGGAGCGAAAGCGUGGGGAGCGAACAGGAUUAGAUACCCUGGUAGUCCACGCCGUAAACGUUGGGAACUAGGUGUGGGCGACAUUCCACGUCGUCCGUGCCGCAGCUAACG
rnacentral:rRNA from 1 species